rnacentral:rRNA from 1 species
AUGUAUGGAGGGUGGGAGGACCUUCUUCCUAUGGUGUCUGUCAGAAAUUUGGUUUGUGAAAUUUUAGACCACAACCCCCUGCUUCUCUCUGGAGGGGAAGAGGGGCGCGAAGCUCCUAAACCUCGUGAGUUUCAUUUCAAUUUGGCCUGGGUUAAGGAUCAAGAUUUCCUUCCUACGGUCAGUAGGAUCUGGUCGAGGAAGGUUCAUUCCUCUGACCCUAUCGACAUCCUAAAUAUCAAACUAAAAAGAUUUAAGAAUUAUUUCAAAGGGUGGGGGUCAAAUAAAUAUGGUCAUGACAAUAGAAGAAAAGAAGAGCUCAGAUUAGAGCUAGCUAUGUUGGAGGAACUGGAAGAGAGUGGCCCCUUGACCCCUGAGAUGUAUGGUGUCAAAAUUGAUGUAAGUGCGGAGCUGCAUGAACUCCUGGUAAAUGAGGAGAUUUUUUCUUACAGCAAUCCCACGAAAGAUGGCUUCUGA